rnacentral:rRNA from 1 species
GAUCCUGGCUCAGGAUGAACGCUGGCGGCGUGCCUAAUACAUGCAAGUAGAACGCUGAAGGAGGAGCUUGCUCUUUCCGGAUGAGUUGCGAACGGGUGAGUAACGCGUAGGUAACCUGCCUGGUAGCGGGGGAUAACUAUUGGAAACGAUAGCUAAUACCGCAUAACAGUAGAUAUUGCAUGAUAUCUGCUUGAAAGGUGCAAUUGCAUCACUACCAGAUGG